rnacentral:rRNA from 1 species
GUGGGGAAUAUUGGACAAUGGGCGCAAGCCUGAUCCAGCCAUGCCGCGUGAGUGAUGAAGGCCCUAGGGUUGUAAAGCUCUUUCACCGGAGAAGAUAAUGACGGUAUCCGGAGAAGAAGCCCCGGCUAACUUCGUGCCAGCAGCCGCGGUAAUACGAAGGGGGCUAGCGUUGUUCGGAUUUACUGGGCGUAAAGCGCACGUAGGCGGAUCGUUAAGUCGGGGGUGAAAUCCUGGAGCUCAACUCCAGAACUGCCUUCGAUACUGGCGAUCUUGAGUCCGGAAGAGGUGAGUGGAGCUCCUAGUGUAGAGGUGGAAUUCGUAGAUAUUAGGAAGAACACCAGUGGCGAAGGCGGCUCACUGGUCCGGUACUGACGCUGAGGUGCGAAUGCGUGGGGAGCAAACAGGAUUAGAAACCCGGGUAGUCC